rnacentral:rRNA from 1 species
CCUACGGGAGGCAGCAGUGAGGAAUAUUGGUCAAUGGUCGGGAGACUGAACCAGCCAAGCCGCGUGAGGGAUGAAGGUACAGAGUAUCGUAAACCUCUUUUGUCAGGGAACAAAGGCGGGGACGUGUCCCCGGAUGAGUGUACCUGAAGAAAAAGCAUCGGCAAACUCCGUGCCAGCAGCCGCGGUAAUACGGGGGAUGCGAGCGGAAUCCGGAUUUAUGGGGUGAAACGGGUGGGCAGGCGGUCUGUUAAGUCAGCGGUCAAACCCCGGGGCUCAACCCCGGCCCGCCGUUGAAACUGGCAGUCUCGAGUUGGAGAGAGGUAUGCGGAAUGCGCGGUGUAGCGGUGAAAUGCAUAGAUAUCGCGCAGAACUCCGAUUGCGAAGGCAGCCUGCCGGCUCCACACUGACGCUGAGGCACGAAAGCGUGGGUAUCGAACAGGAUUAGAUACCCUUGUAGUC